rnacentral:rRNA from 1 species
AUCUUGGGAAAUUUCAUCGUGAUGGGGAUAGAUCAUUGCAAUUGUUGGUCUUCAACGAGGAAUGCCUAGUAAGCGCGAGUCAUCAGCUCGCGUUGACUACGUCCCUGCCCUUUGUACACACCGCCCGUCGCUCCUACCGAUUGAAUGGUCCGGUGAAGUGUUCGGAUCGCGGCGACGGGGGUGGUUCGCCGCCCCCGACGUCGCGAGAAGUCCAUUGAACCUUAUCAUUUAGAGGAAGGAGAAGUCGUAACAAGGUUUCCGUAGGUGAACCUGCGGAAGGAUCAUUG